GGAUUUGGCUCAGUGGUAGAGCGCUUGCCUAGCAAGCGCAAGGCCCUGGGUUCAAUCCCCAGCUCCG
rnacentral:tRNA from 1 species